ACUACGUCUAAGGAUGGCAGCAGGCGCGCAAAUUACCCACUCUCAACGCGAGGAGGUAGUGACGAGAAAUAACGAGACCGAUCUCUUAUGAGGCCGGUCAUCGGAAUGGGUACAAUUUAAACCCUUUAACGAGUAUCUAUGAGAGGGCAAGUCUGGUGCCAGCAGCCGCGGUAAUUCCAGCUCUCAAAAUGCAUAGAAUUAUUGCUGCGGUUAAAAAGCUCGUAGUUGGAUCUGUGCUAGCCGUCCGGUGCACACUUUGUGUGUUACUGGUUUGGUUGGCUUUUCUGCCGGUCUUUCCCCGGCGUUGGCCUUUACCGGUCGGCGUCGGUGGGCUGGCGAGUUUACUUUGAACAAAUCAGAGUGCUUCAAACAGGCGUUUCGCUUGAAUGUUCGUGCAUGGAAUAAUAGAAGAGGAUUUCGGUCCGAUUUUAUUGGUUUUGCUGACCGAGAUAAUGGUUAACAGAGACAAACGGGGCCAUUCGUAUUGCUACGUGAGAGGUGAAAUUCUUGGACCGUAGCAAGACGGACUACAGCGAAAGCAUUUGGCAAGAAUGUCUUCAUUAAUCAAGAACGAAAGUCAGAGGUUCGAAGGCGAUCAGAUACCGCCCUAGUUCUGACCGUAAACGAUGCCAACUAGCGAUCCGCCGGCGGAUUUAUUCGCCCUGGUGGGGAGCUUCCCGGAAACGAAAGUCUUCCGGUUCCGGGGGGAAGUAUGGUUGCAAAGCUGAAACUUAAAGGAAUUGACGGAAGGGCACCACCAGGAGUGGAGCCUGCGGCUUAAUUUGACUCAACACGGGGAAACUCACCCGGCCCGGACACCGUAAGGAUUGACAGAUUGAUAGCUUUUUCAUGAUUCGGUGGAUGGUGGUGCAUGGCCGUUCUUAGUUCGUGGAGCGAUUUGUCUGGUUUAUUCCGAUAACGAGCGAGACUCUAGCCUACUAAAUAGUUGGCUCAUUGCUUCUGUGGGCACAACUUCUUAGAGGGAUUUUCGGUGUUCAGCCGCACGAAAUUGAGCAAUAACAGGUCUGUGAUGCCCUUAGAUGUCCGGGGCUGCACGCGCGCUACACUGGCAAAAUCAGCGUGCUUGUCCUUCCCCGAAAGGGGUUGGUAAACCGGUGAAAAUUUGCCGUGAUUGGGAUCGGACAUUGCAAUUAUUGUCCGUGAACGAGGAAUUCCUUGUAGGGGCGAGUCAUCAACUCGCUCUGAAUACGUCCCUGCCCUUUGUACACACCGCCCGUCGCUGCCCGGGACUGAGCCAUUUCGAGAAAUUCGGGGACGGUUAGUGUUCCGGCUUCGGUCGGUAUGCAGACUGGAACCGAUUUAAUCGCAGUGGCUUGAACCGGGCAAAAGUCGUAACAAGGUAGCUGUAGGUGAACCUGCUGCUG
rnacentral:rRNA from 2 species